rnacentral:rRNA from 1 species
AGAGUUUGAUCAUGGCUCAGGAUGAACGCUGGCGGCGUGCCUAACACAUGCAAGUCGAGCGAUUUACUUCGGUAAAGAGCGGCGGACGGGUGAGUAACGCGUGGGUAACCUGCCUCAUACACAUGGAUAACAUACCGAAAGGUAUGCUAAUACAAGAUGAUAUAAGAGAUUCGCAUGGAUUUCUUAUCAAAGCUCCGGCGGUAUGAGAUGGACCCGCGUCUGAUUAGCUAGUUGGUAAGGUAACGGCUUACCAAGGCGACGAUCAGUAGCCGACCUGAGAGGGUGAUCGGCCACAUUGGAACUGAGACACGGUCCAAACUCCUACGGGAGGCAGCAGUGGGGAAUAUUGCACAAUGGGCGAAAGCCUGAUGCAGCAACGCCGCGUGAGCGAUGAAGGCCUUCGGGUCGUAAAGCUCUGUCCUCAAGGAAGAUAAUGACGGUACUUGAGGAGGAAGCCCCGGCUAACUACGUGCCAGCAGCCGCGGUAAUACGUAGGGGGCUAGCGUUAUCCGGAUUUACUGGGCGUAAAGGGUGCGUAGGUGGUUUCUUAAGUCAGGAGUGAAAGGCUACGGCUCAACCGUAGUAAGCUCUUGAAACUGGGAAACUUGAGUGCAGGAGAGGAAAGUGGAAUUCCUAGUGUAGCGGUGAAAUGCGUAGAUAUUAGGAGGAACACCAGUAGCGAAGGCGGCUUUCUGGACUGUAACUGACACUGAGGCACGAAAGCGUGGGGAGCAAACAGGAUUAGAUACCCUGGUAGUCCACGCCGUAAACGAUGAGUACUAGGUGUCGGGGGUUACCCCCCUCGGUGCCGCAGCUAACGCAUUAAGUACUCCGCCUGGGGAGUACGCUCGCAAGAGUGAAACUCAAAGGAAUUGACGG